rnacentral:rRNA from 1 species
UUUUAUGAGAGUUUGAUCCUGGCUCAGGACGAACGCUGGCGGCGUGCCUAAUACAUGCAAGUCGAACGCAUUUUCUUUCACCGUAGCUUGCUACACCGAAAGAAAAUGAGUGGCGAACGGGUGAGUAACACGUGGGUAACCUGCCCAUCAGCGGGGGAUAACACUUGGAAACAGGUGCUAAUACCGCAUAAUUCCAUUUACCGCAUGGUAGAUGGAUGAAAGGCGCUUUUGCGUCACUGAUGGAUGGACCCGCGGUGCAUUAGCUAGUUGGUGGGGUAACGGCCUACCAAGGCUGCGAUGCAUAGCCGACCUG